UGAGAAAUUAGGAUAAGGGACGCCACCUGUACUACCCCAUGCCUCUUUCUUUGUUUCUCUGCAUAUACUGUCUUCACGGAGCGUAUUCUUGUCACCUUCAGUUCGGAACAAAACUGGGAUUUCUCCGGCGACUGGCGACGGGGACUGGCGGCGGCAACUAACGGCGGGGACUGGCGGCGGGGACUGGCGGCGGCCAUUGGCUCGGGUGAUUACGAGCCAGCCAAGAUGGAUCUCAUGGAGUCCAGCAAACCCUGGACGCAGGUACUAUUCGUGCGUCGGUAACCAGCAUGGAUUCAUCGAUUGGCAUGACGGGCCAACGACACCAUUUGUCGGUGAUUUGUUGGGUGAUCUUCGUGACAAAGUGUGGAUGCUUGAGACUGCUGUUGCUAGUCAGUCCAUUGACAGAGAAGUUGGUGCGUUGAGAGAGGAAUUGGAGAAGAACACUGAAGUUAUUUCAGAAAUUAGCGCUAGGUGUGACAGGAAAGAUGUGAUUCAGAUAUAUGAAUGUGCAGUGUAUGGUUUGAUGAUCUUUGUAGCUGGUUUAGUCGCAAGCUUCAUGCUAUCUUAGUUUCUGGAGAUGUAUAAUGUGGUGCUGUCUUAAUUGCAAUGUAUUGUAUGUGACUCAUAUUCGAAUGAAUUUGGAAAACCCAAAUUUGAUGUGUA